rnacentral:rRNA from 1 species
UGGGGAAUAUUGCGCAAUGGGGGAAACCCUGACGCAGCCAUGCCGCGUGAGUGAAGAAGGUCUUCGGAUCGUAAAGCUCUUUCAACGGUGAAGAUGAUGACGGUAGCCGUAGAAGAAACCCCGGCUAACUCCGUGCCAGCAGCCGCGGUAAUACGGAGGGGGUUAGCGUUGUUCGGAAUUACUGGGCGUAAAGCGCACGUAGGCGGACCAGAAAGUUGGGGGUGAAAUCCCGGGGGCUCAACCCCGGAACUGCCUCCAAAACUAUUGGUCUAGAGUUCGAGAGAGGUGAGUGGAAUUCCAAGUGUAGAGGUGAAAUUCGUAGAUAUUUGGAGGAACACCAGUGGCGAAGGCGGCUCACUGGCUCGAUACUGACGCUGAGGUGCGAAAGUGUGGGGAGCAAACAGGAUUAGAUACCCUGGUAGUCCACACCGUAAAACGAUGAAUGCCAGUCGUCGGGUAGCAUGCUAUUCGGUGACACACCUAACGGAUUAAGCAUUCC